rnacentral:lncRNA from 1 species
GGACCCAUCAUAGCCAGCCCUACCAGAACCAGCCCCACUGGUACCACCAGCCCCAUAGCCAUCCCUACCAGAACCAGCCCUAUUGGUACCACCAGCCCCAUAACCAGCCCUACCAGAACCAGCCCUACCAGAACCAGCCCCACUGGAACCACUGGACCCAUCAUAGCCAGCCCUACCAGAACCAGCCCUACUGGUACCACCAGCCCCAUAGCCAGCCCUACCAGCACCAGCCCCAUAACCAGCUCUACCAGAACCAGCCCCACUGGUACCACCAGCCCCAUAACCAGCCCUACAGGAACCAGCCCCAUAGCCAGCCCUACUGGUACCACCAGCCCCAGAACCAGCCCCACUGGUACCACCAUCCCCAUAGCCAGCCCUACCAGAACCAGCCCCAUAGCCAGCCCUACCAGCACCA